AGGCUUAAACCUCGCGGGGCAAAAAAAAACAGUUAAGUGUGGACUUUUAAAGAGGGAUCUGGCAACCCGAUAGCGAUAGAGUAUGGUGGAGAGCAGCUCUCAGCAGAAGAGGAAAAUUCAGGCAUUUGUAUAGAAGAUGCUUCUGCUACAUUUAAGUUGUAUGUCUGGACGAGGCUGCGAAUAUCGAGCCAGACGAAUCUGGAGCUGCGAAUAUCAAACCAACUUCAUGUCUGGCUGCAUUUUGGCUUUCCUGUGGAAACAAUAAACGUCCGCCCUGUCCAUCACACACCCAGUCCUCCCUGUCCGUCACUGAAGAGUUCCUCUACAGUAUAAACCAGAGACCAGCGCUCCAUCAGUUUAUUCUUCACUCACUUCUGAGGUUCAUACACUGGUACAUCCUGAAGACUGUGAAAGGUAAGGGGCCUAUUUCAAUUUCUGCAUUUGCAAAUUUAAUAUAACCACUUAACAUAUUAACAAAGUGUUCCUGCUUAUUAAUGUCCUUUUAAAUAUUCUUGAAAAGUCUUUUUUCUAAUAUUUUUUUAAUAGCAAGAAAAAACAACCAAUUGCCUUCCUGUUCUCAAAAACUGACUGAAAAGCUGUUUGUACAGUAUUAUAUAUUUGUUGCUGAGGUCUUUAAAAGGAAUUAGGAACUAGUAGGGUGUACCAUGAUUUCUGCUUUUAGCUUCUUCCAUGAAAGCUAAAGAAUGCUGCACUGAUCUAAAGGAUAGGAGGGGCUUCAUCCAUUUAAUGUGGAUGUGAUUUUUGCUGCUUGUCACUUCUAUCUAUUCACAAGGACAUUUCUAGACAGACGCUGAUGUCACGAUCAUUAUUACCACCCACUGCACUGUUCACUGUGGGAGGUAAUGAAUUCUGUGCCAUAUUACUAGUACACAUGUGACACUGUGACACUGGAUCGGGGAAUGUUAAAUGCCACUAACUUCAGAAAUGAAAUGUGCCAUUUAGCCGUUUUUUAUAAUGUGAGAUUCAAAGUUUGAACACUAGGUGUCAGAAACGGGGCAAAGAGUCUAAAAGCGGAGAGGGUGCGCAUUUCUAGCGCAGAAAAACGGGCCAAAGAGUCUAAAAGUGGACGUAAUUAAGGAGUUUAAUAUUAAGAGACAUCAUGAAAUUAAACAUCAAUUUGAAAAAUCUUAGUUUACACAACACUGUCAAAGAUAAAGAUAGUAAGUCAAGUAAAAUGGAG
rnacentral:lncRNA from 1 species